GCAGUCAACGAAACGGGUUAUAGCUUGCUAUAAUUGUCAGCUAAGUGGCGCACGGGNUGAGUAAUGUAUAGGUAAUAUGCCUCUUACUAAGGGAUAACAAAUGGAAACGUUUGCUAAUACCUUAUACUCCUUACUAACUAAAGUUAGUAAGGGAAAGAUUUAUUGGUAAGAGAUUAGCCUGUAUUGUAUCAGUUAGUUGGUGGGGUAAUGGCCUACCAAGACAAUGACGCAUAACUGGUUUGAGAGGAUGAUCAGUCACACUGGAACUGAGACACGGUCCAGACUCCUACGGGAGGCAGCAGUGGGGAAUAUUGCACAAUGGACGAAAGUCUGAUGCAGCAACGCCGCGUGGAGGAUGACACAUUUCGGUGCGUAAACUCCUUUUAUAUAAGAAGAUAAUGACGGUAUUAUAUGAAUAAGCACUGGCUAACUCCGUGCCAGCAGCCGCGGUAAUACGGGGGGUGCAAGCGUUACUCGGAAUCACUGGGCGUAAAGAGCAUGUAGGCGGAUUAAUAAGUUUGAAGUGAAAUCCUAUAGCUUAACUAUAGAACUGCUUUGAAAACUGUUAGUCUAGAAUGUGGGAGAGGUAGAUGGAAUUUCUGGUAUAGGGGUAAAAUCCGUAGAGAUCAGAAGGAAUACCGAUUGCGAAGGCGAUCUACUGGAACAUUAUUGACGCUGAGAUGCGAAAGCGUGGGGAGCAAACAGGAUUAGAUACCCUGGUAGUCCACGCCCUAAACGAUGUACACUAGUUGUUGUGAGACUUGAUCUUGCAGUAAUGCAGUUAACACAUUAAGUGUACCGCCUGGGGAGUACGGUCGCAAGAUUUAAACUCAAAGGAAUAGACGGGGACCCGCACAAGCGGUGGAGCAUGUGGUUUAAUUCCACGAUACACAAAAACCUUACCUGGACUUGACAUAGUUAGAACUUUCUAGAGAUAAAUUGGGGUCUGCUUGCAGAAACUUAUAUACGGGUGCUUGCACGCUGGCCUCAGCUCCUGGCGUGAGAAGUUGGGU
rnacentral:rRNA from 1 species